GGUCACAAGCGUUAUCCGGAAUUAUUGGGCGUAAAGCGUUCGUAGGCGGUUUGUUAAGUCUGGAGUUAAAGACUGGGGCUCAACCCCAGCCCGCUCUGGAUACUGGCUGACUAGAGUUACAUAGAGGUAAGUGGAAUUCUUAGUGGAGCGGUGGAAUGCGUAGAUAUUAGGAAGAACACCAAUGGCGAAGGCAGCUUACUGGAUGUACACUGACGCUCAGGGACGAAAGCGUGGGGAGCAAACAGGAUUAGAUACCCUGGUAGUCCACGCCGUAAACGAUGAUCAUUAGCCGCUAGAAUAUUUAGUGGCGCAGCUAACGCAUUAAAUGAUCCGCCUGAGUAGUAUGCUCGCAAGAGUGAAACUUAAAGGAAUUGACGGGGACCCGCACAAGCGGUGGAGCAUGUGGUUUAAUUUGAAGAUACGCGUAGAACCUUACCCACUCUUGACAUCUUCCGCAAUACUAUGGAGACAUAGUGGAGGUUAACGGAAUGACAGAUGGUGCAUGGUUGUCGUCAGCUCGUGCCGUGAGGUGUUAGGUUAAGUCCUGCAACGAGCGCAACCCCUGUCUUUAGUUACUAACGGGUAAUGCCGAGGACUCUAAAGAGACUGACUGGGUAACCAGUAGGAAGGUGGGGACGACGUCAAAUCAUCAUGCCUCUUACGAGUGGGGCAACACACGUGCUACAGUGGACGGUACAAAGAGAAGCAAUAUGGUGACAUGGAGCAAACCUCAAAAAACCGUUCUCAGUUCGGAUUGAAGUCUGAAACUCGACUUCAUGAAGUUGGAAUCGCUAGUAAUCGUAGAUCAGCUACGCUACGGUGAAUACGUUCUCGGGUCUUGUACACACCGCCCGUC
rnacentral:rRNA from 1 species